rnacentral:pre_miRNA from 1 species
UAAAUUUGUCUAAAUACGGAUGUAUCUAGUUACAUUUUAGUGUUAGAUACAUCCGUAUCUAAACAAAUGUAAGACAAGAAUUUUGGGAUGGAGGGAAUACUAC